CACCGCGGUUAUACGAGAGGCCCAAGUUGAUAUUCAACGGCGUAAAGGGUGGUUAAAAAAAAUAAAACUAAAGCCGAACACUUCCCAAGCUGUUAUACGCAUUUGGAAGCAUGAAGCCCAACCACGAAAGUAGCUUUACAUAUUUGAACCCACGAAAGCUAAGAAA
rnacentral:rRNA from 1 species